AGUUGAGGUGGGUCUGGUCAGGCCCAGCUGACCAGUGCUGAUGCCACAUCUGAAGCACUCGACCCCCAUCCUGCUGCAGACUUGGGGGCUUGGAGCCUGGGUGGCCGGUUCCUCUUCUCCCAGGUUCCCAAUACCAAGCGCCCCCACCCCCACCUGCUGCUGGCCUUGACCCAAGGUAGGAUGUGCCCUGCAGAAGAGGUUGGGGUGCUCCUGGACAGACCCCUGGCAGCCCUGCCUGCAGUUUCAAGGACAGUUGAGUUAGUCCCCCUCAACACAGGCGGUGGGGGAGCCACCUGCCCUGAAGUCUGGAUGACCUUGGGCAAGCAUGUGGCAUCUCCCAGAGAUAAUGACAGAGUGAGCCACUCACUCUGCAGCCGGCGGGGUGGAUGUGGCUCGCAGUUGGGCUGCAGAAGCAUCCAGGUGUGUCCUUUCCGUCCCUAACAGAGUUCCUGUCCCCCAGUGGGUUCCCAGGAGCCUAGGGCUUCGGCGGAGGACCCACCAGCAAGAGAGUGGAGUGAGAGACUAAAGAGCGGAGGUUUGAGUCAUUGUGAUGAGGCAACACUGUCAGAGACCAGAGGGGGACAGGGAGUAAGACCUCCCCUCCUCCCUAACCUGCAGAGGUUUCCCCACUGAGUCUGGAACAAAGCGCAGUCCAAGCCCUUGGCAGUGUGCCCAAGGCCACCUGCCAGGGGUCAGCUCCCGCGCCUCCCUCUCCAUCCUCUACCACCCUCUACCACCAGCUCACCUCCUCCAUGUGCCCCAGCUUCCUCCCUCUGCCCCGUGCUCCUCCCCUGACCUGAAAAGGCCCGCUCUGGUUAUAGGAUGGCUCAAGAGUGGCCUCUGCUCCCACCUCCCCCUUUGAGCUGACCUGGGCUGGCACAGAGUGGCGGCAGAGUCGGACUGGUCGAUGGGUUGAUGGCUUGGAGGUGGUGGGUGUGAGGACAGUGCUCCAGGACACGGGGCCAGGUCUGUCCCCACCCCGCUGCAUCCCCUUUGUCUCAGCCAGCGUAUUGGACAGCACAGGUUGGAAAACACAACUCCUAGACACAUUUUGUUGAUCCAGUGUCUUUCUCAUGUUCGCAUGUGUUGCCAACGCUGAACAACCAUACCAGACCCGAGCUGCUCUAGUGGGAUUCUUAACCCACUGCGCCACAGCAGGGACUCCCUGGACACAUCACUUAAUCGUCCCUUCUCUGCGUCUCAGCAUCCUGGGCUGUGAGGGACAUAAUGGGAAGAGCAGCUUCUCCUAAGAUGGGCGUGAGAUUGGAGUGAGUCAAUAUGCAUAACGUACUUACACUUUAAGUGGCUCCUAAAUGUCAGCUGUUAUUAAUAACACUUUAACCUGUACCAUCGUGAACCCUAUUUUUUCUGAUGAGAAAGGCGCAAAGCCAAAACUUUAUGGCCAGAAGUGGUGGUGACCUGAUUCAAGGGUGGCUGAAUCUGGGCUCCAAGCUCCGAUGCUAGGCUGCAUCCCCGCUUCAUUCCUGGGUCAGGGGCUCAGGGAAGGGGAGCAGGUGAGGGCUGUAGCCGGAGAAGGGUUUAUCUCUUCCAAAAGCUUCUGCUCCCCCAGCCUGAUCUCCGGGGGCUGCUCCUUGUCCACUGGUGGGACACCGGGCCAAGGCCCCUGAGUUCGGGGCUGCCCACCUCACCCAGGCAGCAAGCCUCAGGCCCCGUCCCCCACCCACAGGGGCUGGGCGGGGUCUGGCUGGGGAGGGCGGAGGAGGCUGGAGGGCCUCUUCCCGCUCCGGGUACCAGCUGCAAGCGGGAGGCAUCGCAGGCUAUUGAGAGCCACCAGAGAUGUGCCCUCGCCAGCUGGGAGGGGAGGCUGAGGCCAAGGCUGGAGCCAGGAGUGGAGUCUCACAGCGCUGGGGACCCCGGGCGGCCCCUGGCAGGGAGGGCAGUAGGAGGAAAGCUGUGUCCAGCCUCGGUUGCUUGAUCUUGGGAAAGUCUCAGCUCUCACCCUCAGUCUCCUCACCUGGGAAACGUGGGACCUGGGCCGCAUGGUUGCUGAAGUCCUUCCUGUCUCAAGCAGAUUCAGGGGGCUUAGGAGAGUCAAAAUGGCCCCCAUUUCCAGCAUAGAAAACCAAGGUUCAGUGAGGGUAUGGCCUCACAAUGGUGCAGACUCAUCCAGAGUUUAGGAUGGAGGGAGUUCCCAUUGUGGCUCAGGGCUAAUGAACCCGACUAGCAUCCAUGAGGAUGCCAUUUGAUCCCCGGCCUCUCUCAGUGGGUUAAGGAUUUGGCGUUGCUGUGAGCUGCAGUGUAGGUUGUCAGUGUGGCUUGGAUCUGAUGUAACUGUGGUGUAGGCCAGCAGCUGCAGCUCUGAUUCUACCCCCAGCCUGGGAACCUCCACAUGCCACACGUGCAGCCCUGAAAAGGAAAAAUUAAAGAGUCCAGGAUGGAAUCGAGGUUUCAGGCCCUUCUGUCCAGCAGGUUCUUACUGAGCACCAGCUCUGUGGCUUGAGGAAGUACCCCUUUAAUUCUGACAGAAACCCACCAUGUUCAAUGGGCAUUCUCACCCCAUUUUGCUGAUGGGCAAACUGAGGCUAAGGCAGGUGAUACAACCUCCCCAUGACCGCACAGGAAGAAGGGAGGUAGCCAGAAUUUGCACCAAGAAGGGACCACGAAAAGAUUUGAGAAUAUUCUCCUCCUUUUGAGCCAGAAUAGAAUGUUUGGUGGGGUCUGCAUUUGUGUCAAAGGACCAAGGGGGAGGGUGAGGACUUACCUGGAGUCUCUUGUGAGCUCCCCAUGGCCCUGACCCUUAAUGUGCAUGGAAGUGCGCGUGUGACAUUUUUCAGAGGACACAGUACUGAGACUUGGUGACCCGUGAAGGGAUAUGAAAUAGCUCAUUUUGUAGUUUGGAAAACUAGAGAAGUGGGGGCAGGAUGGGGCUCCUGGGGGGACCAGCAGCCGAGGCCAGAGCUUUCCCAGGCAUCUCACACAGGCUUCUUUCUGGGGCCAGAGGGCCCAGCUCUGGACACCUACCCACCCCCUGCCUCCCCUCCCCAUGCCCUGGCAGCAAAUAGGAGAGGCCACCUGUGAACAGACUGCUGUCCUGGGGUGAAAAACAUGAUCCCUGGCCUCGCUCAGUGGCUUCAGGAUCAGGGACAGGGGUCAGGGACACCCUUCAGAGAAGGUAUUUAGUGGCAGAGAACCAGACUGGGGCACUGGCCUUGGGGGCGCAGCAGGAGGGCUUCCCUCGGGGGGCGGGUGUCAGGGAGGCUCCCAGCUGCCCCCACCUUCCUGGGCACAGGCCAGCUCCACGUGGGAAUUCAAGGCCACUAAGCUGGGCCACUCCUUCUCCCCAGGCCCCUCUUGGGGGAUGCCCGCCCUGAGGGAGUGGGCACGACCUUCCCUUGCACUCUCCCCUGGCAUUGUCUAGACUGCAGCCAUGCUGGGCUCCUUGGACUCCCCAGAGCCUACAGGAUGGUACCAAGUGCAACGUUCAAUUCUCACCCUGCCCCCCAUUCGCUUAGUUCCCGCUUUGCUUGGAGAACUUAGUUCUUCAGACAGUCAUUUGUUCACUGAUUUGUUAACCAGCUAUUUAUUAAGUGCCUACUGUGUGCCAGGCACUGUGCCAGCUGCUGGGACAACAGCCAUGAACAAAGUCGCUGCCCUCCCGAUGCCUAAGUUCUAGCGGGGAACAGAGACGGUUGACGUUAUGCUGGACCGUGAUCCGCUCGACUGGGGACAAACUAAAGCAGAGAAAAGGGAGCACAGUCGGAGGGCCCUAGCUGAGAAGCUGCCGUUUGAGCAGAACUUGGAGGAAAUGAGCCAUGUGGAUCUCUGGGGGCAGAGGGAACAGCCACCAGGCAGGGAGCUGGCGUGUUCGCGGAACAGCGGGAAGACCAGCAGGUCUGGAGCAGAGGGAGGAGGAGACGGGUCAGAGGGGUGAAGUGAGGGCUGCUGUAAGGGCUUUGGAACGAGAUGGGAGUCAGUGGAGAAUGUUGAGCUGGGAUGUGAGGUGUCAUGUGAUCUGAUUGGGGUUUUUUUUUUUCCCCCCGCACUUGUGCCACAAGGAAGUUCCCCAGGCCAGGAUGGAACCCACGCCACAGUUGCAGCCUGCGCCACAGCUGUGGCAAUACCAGAUCCUUAACUCACGGUGCCACAGGGGAACUUUCCUGACUGGGAUUUGAUGGGCUCCCUGGCUGCUGUGUCAAGAGGAGAUUGAGGGGUGUGGGGGGCAGUUAGGAAGUUACUGCCGUAGCUGAGGGCCCGUGAGGGAGACCAGUGCGGUGAGAGCUGAGGAGGGAGCUCCAGCAUCUACUCCAGGUCUGGUUGAUUCCACAGCUACUUUAUGCAAAUACAAGCCAAUGAGGGACCUGUUCUGGUCUUCCUCCACUUUAAAGUAACACACUAAACAAAGUCUUGGGAGCUCUGGGAUGCAGGCUCAAUCCCCAGCCCGGCACAGGAGGUUAAAGAUCUGGUGUUGCCGCAGCUGCCACUCAGAUCUGAUCCCUGGCCCGGGAACUCCAUAUUGCCAUGGGGAGGUCAAAAAAGAAGCAGCAAAAACAGGAAGAGGCCAGGGACACAGCCCUCUGGGGGACAUCGAGCGUGCUACAGAAAUUUCAGAUGCACUCAGCCUUUAACCUGGCCACCCGUUUCUAGAACGGAUCAUAUGGCCACAGCUGCACACAGCAACUUGACUUAGGUUCAGGGCUACUCAUUGUAGCAGCAACAUGUUGAACACACCCAAUAUCUCUCCAUGAGGAUCUGGUUAAAUCAAAGCAGUGCAUAUACCUAUACACACCUUUUCAGCUCUGGGGACCUGGGUGUGGCUUGUCAGCAGCCCCUCCAACCUGCUGCCCCAGCUUCCUCCGCCCCCACCCAGCUUUGCACUUAGUGCUCAGCUGGCCCGGGUGCUGUCCACACCUCUGGUGCUGAACGGUGGUGCUGGAGGGAUGCCUGGACUGCAAACCAGAUACCAAGAGUAGGGAAAAGAUACAGCAGGAGACAUUCAAGGUUCAGUGCCUGGCUCUGCGUCUUGCCAGCUGAGUGACCUUGGGCAAAUUGCUUAACCCCUGUGAGCUCGAUAUCCUUAUGAGUACAAUCGGGUUGCUGUCGAGAUUGAAUGGUCGUUGUAAGGUACAGCAUUGGCAGUUGAGAAAAUAAAUGAUCAUUGAAAUGAUUGUUUUAGAGCCCGUAAGCAUAGUGGUUACACUUCGGGCACUGCUGAGAUCCAGCCUGGAUUUGAAUCCUGGCUCCUCCACUUCCCGAUGGAUGAUCUUGAUCAAGUGACAUGACCGUUCCCUGUCUCAGUUUCCCUGUCUGUAAAUUGGAGUGACUAGCAGUCCCCGGUUCAUUGGAUGCUGUGAGGAUGAGAUGAGUUAAUUUACAUGAGGGACUUGGCACAUGACGGGUGUUAGCUGUGCUAUAGCUUUCCUCUCCGUCGUCAUCAGCCCUCUCCACAUCGCGCGCCAGCCUCUCUGUUCACGUGACCCGUGUCCCUCACAGCCACUCCCAUCUCUGCUGUGUUGGGGCUGGGGCUGUAGGAGGAAGGCAGUACUUUGCCUUACAGACAGCCUGGCUUCGAGCCCAGCUCUGCCCCUGACUUUCUCUGUGAUUUUGAGCAAAAUUUUGAUUUGGUUUUCAUCACCGUUCUCUCCUGGCCCUCAGUCUCUGCACCUGUAAAACAGGGCCCGUGAUAUCGCACACAGGUCCCUGGGGAAAUAGCUAUGUGCCUGCCGGGUCAUAUCCUGGAAAGCUAAGAUACAGAGUUACAGCUUACCAGACACCUAAAAGAAUUAUUCACCCGGCAUUUGUCACCCCUGGCUAAAGGCUAGGAAGAUGAAAGCAUGGGGCUUGCUUUCAAGGAUCGCGCAGGUUUCUUGCUAGAUUGUUAAUCCUCUUCAAGGCCCAUUCAUGUGUCACCGCCUCCAGGAAGGCAUCUGGAUUCCCACCGCCAGCGUUCUUCUUGGAAAUGUUGGAGCGCUGAUCAUAGCCUUUCUGGCUUCGUGCUUAUCUGAGGCCUUAUUUUAUUUGCCUCCUUGAUUUGUAGGCUCCUACCCUCUGUCUGACCUACUCCCCCCUGUGCCAGCUCCCAGCGCAGUGCCUGGGCUCAAGUAGAUAUGCCUGUCUGGAAUCUGUAGGCUCUGAGUUACAUAAAUUCAACUCUAACUGGUUUAAGCCGAAAAGGAAAUGUAUUGGAGUUCCCAUCAUGGCUCGGCAGGUUAGAACCCAACUGGUAUCCAUGAGGAUGUGGGUUCGAUGCUUGGCCUCACUCAGUGGGUUAACCCUCACUCUGGUGUGGCUGCAAGCUGGGGUGUAGGUCGCAGACUCGGCUUCAAUCCUGCAUUGCUCUGGCUGUGGCAUAGACCCGCACCUGCAGCUCCGAUUCGACUCCUAGCCUGGGAACUUCCAUAGGCUGCACAUGCGGCCCUAAAAGAAAAGAAAAAA
rnacentral:lncRNA from 1 species